rnacentral:sRNA from 1 species
GCAGGGUGUGGUGGCCACGCCUGUCAUCCCAGCGACCUGGAGGCUGAGGCAGGAGGAUCACAACUCAGAGGCCAGCCUCGGGCACUUAGCAAGGCCCUCAGCAGCUCAGGGUGACCCUGUCUUUA